CACGCCGUAAACGAUGAAUACUAGGUGUAGGGGUUGUCAUGACCUCUGUGCCGCCGCUAACGCAUUAAGUAUUCCGCCUGGGGAGUACGGUCGCAAGAUUAAAACUCAAAGGAAUUGACGGGGGCCCGCACAAGCAGCGGAGCAUGUGGUUUAAUUCGAAGCAACGCGAAGAACCUUACCAGGGCUUGACAUCCUCGGACGACACUAGAGAUAGUGUUUUCUCUUCGGAGACUGAGAGACAGGUGG
rnacentral:rRNA from 1 species